rnacentral:rRNA from 1 species
ACAUGCUGGUUUUCUGCGAGAUCUGUGUUACCGAUUAUUUAUUUUAUUAUUAGUAGGUAUAGCACUGAAUAUUUUUUUUUUCAAAAAAGGGAUGAUAAAUUUCCUUAUCUGGAAUAUUAAAUCCCAAAAGGGCUAAAACUUUAGGUAAACACCCGAACUUUUUCCAACAAGGGAUAAAGCCUAAAGGGAACCACCCCAAAACAGAAAAAAAAAAAGAAGGGCCCCCCAAUUAAUAUUAGGUGAAAAUCCCAAANUUUNUUCGGGAGCUGAAUCUCGG